AGUGAACGCUGGCGGUAGGCCUAACACAUGCAAGUCGAACGGCAGCACAGUAAGAGCUUGCUCUUACGGGUGGCGAGUGGCGGACGGGUGAGGAAUACAUCGGAAUCUACUUUUUCGUGGGGGAUAACGUAGGGAAACUUACGCUAAUACCGCAUACGACCUACGGGUGAAAGCAGUGGAUCUUCGCACCUUGCGCGAUUGAAUGAGCCGAUGUCGGAUUAGCUAGUUGGCGGGGUAAAGGCCCACCAAGGCGACGAUCCGUAGCUGGUCUGAGAGGAUGAUCAGCCACACUGGAACUGAGACACGGUCCAGACUCCUACGGGAGGGAGCAGUGGGGAAUAUUGGACAAUGGGCGCAAGCCUGAUCCAGCCAUACCGCGUGGGUGAAGAAGGCCUUCGGGUUGUAAAGCCCUUUUGUUGGGAAAGAAAAGCAGCAGGUUAAUACCCCGCUGUUCUGACGGUACCCAAAGAAUAAGCACCGGCUAACUUCGUG
rnacentral:rRNA from 1 species